GAUGAAGAACGUAGUGAAAUGCGAUAAGUAAUGUGAAUUGCAGAAUUCAGUGAAUCAUCGAAUCUUUGAACGCACAUUGCGCCCGCCAGUAUUCUGGCGGGCAUGCCUGUUCGAGCGUCAUUUCAACCAUCAAGCCCCCGGCUUGUGUUGGGGACCUGCGGCUGCCGCAGGCCCUGAAAUGCAGUGGCGGGCUCGCUGUCACUCCGAGCGUAGUAGUUACAUCUCGCUCUGGGCGUGCUGCGGGUUCCGGCCGUUAAAAGCCUUAUUUACCCAAGGUUGACCUCGGAUCAGGUAGGAAGACCCGCUGAACUUAAGCAUAUCAAUAAGCGGAGA
rnacentral:misc_RNA from 1 species